rnacentral:rRNA from 1 species
UAGGGAAUCUUCGGCAAUGGACGAAAGUCUGACCGAGCAACGCCGCGUGAGUGAAGAAGGUUUUCGGAUCGUAAAACUCUGUUGUUAGAGAAGAACAAGGACGUAGUAACUGAACGUCCCCUGACGGUAUCUAACCAGAAAGCCACGGCUAACUACGUGCCAGCAGCCGCGGUAAUACGUAGGUGGCAAGCGUUGUCCGGAUUUAUUGGGCGUAAAGCGAGCGCAGGCGGUUUCUUAAGUCUGAUGUGAAAGCCCCCGGCUCAACCGGGGAGGGUCAUUGGAAACUGGGAGACUUGAGUGCAGAAGAGGGGAGUGGAAUUCCAUGUGUAGCGGUGAAAUGCGUAGAUAUAUGGAGGAACACCAGUGGCGAAGGCGGCUCUCUGGUCUGUAACUGACGCUGAGGCUCGAAAGCGUGGGGAGCAAACAGG